CACGUAGGGCGCAAGCGUUGUCCGGAAUUAUUGGGCGUAAAGAGCUCGUAGGCGGUCUGUUACGUCUGCUGUGAAAACCCAGGGCUUAACCCUUGGCUUGCAGUGGAUACGGGCAGACUAGAGGUAGGUAGGGGAGAAUGGAAUUCCCGGUGUAGCGGUGAAAUGCGCAGAUAUCGGGAGGAACACCGGUGGCGAAGGCGGUUCUCUGGGCCUUACCUGACGCUGAGGAGCGAAAGCGUGGGGAGCGAACAGG
rnacentral:rRNA from 1 species